rnacentral:RNase_P_RNA from 1 species
GAAGCUGGCUAGACAGUCGCCGUUCACAUUUAACUUACCAGUUUACUGGUUUAGUUAAGCGGGAGAGCUCCUUGUGGGUUCUCUUGGUGGAGGGAGGAAAGUCCGGGCUGCAUAGAGCGGGAUGACGGUUAACGGCCGUCCGCUGAAAGCCGCAAGGUAUAAGGCGAGGAAUAGGGCCACAGAGACGAGCGUAUUAAGUUACGGUGAAACGCGGUAACCUCCAUUCGCAGCAAGACCAAAUAGGCUGGUAUUGGCGUGGCUCGCGCUGCCAGCGGGUAGGUUGCUUGAGCGCACAAGUAAUUGUGCGCCUAGAUGAAUGACUGUCAUGCGUUGCAAAACGCAAACAGAACCCGGCUUAUCGGCCAGCUUCAAUU